rnacentral:rRNA from 1 species
AAUGAACGUUGGCGGCGUGGAUUAGGCAUGCAAGUCGUGCGAUAACCGUAGCAAUACGGCGAAAGCGGCGAAAGGGAGAGUAAUGCGUGGGUACCUACCCUCGGAUUCAGGAUAGCCAUGGGAAACUAUGGGUAAUACUGAAUAACGUCUUCGGACCAAAGGUGUGAUUCCGUCCGGGGAGGGGCCCGCGUCCUAUUAGCUAGUUGGUGUGGUAACGGCUCACCAAGGCGAAGAUGGGUAUGGGAUGUGAGAGCAUGAUCCCACUCAUUGGGACUGAGACACUGCCCAGACACCUACGGGUGGCUGCAGUCGAGAAUCUUCGGCAAUGGGGGAAACCCUGACCGAGCGACGCCGCGUGCGAGAUGAAGGCCUUCGGGUUGUAAAUCGCUGUCAGAGGGGAGGAAAUGCCGGUGGGUUCUCUCAUCGGUUUGACCUAUCCUCAGAGGAAGGACGGGCUAAGUUCGUGCCAGCAGCCGCCGUAACAC